GUUGGAUUUCUGUCCCCUUGAUCCACCAAAACAACAAAUUCACUAAAAAAUGGCCAUCCAGUCUGCAUCUCCUCGUUUUUUCUCCUGUCUCCAUGAAUGCGAGGGACAUUACUGCUCUCAUGGGCAAAAAUUCAUUAUGCUCUUCAUUUAUCUGCUGCUUCAUCUUGUAAAUCGGUGCUGCCAUUAGUUUCCCACGAAUUUUGCAUGCAGCAUCAGCGUAAAGAACAUAUAGGUGAGAUGGGCUGCCAAGCAAUCUGCCACAUUUAAGGCAAUUCAUCUAAAAUGCAUGAUGUGCCUGACUUCAACUUCAGGCCUUUGCCAUAUGCAGCA
rnacentral:misc_RNA from 1 species